rnacentral:snRNA from 1 species
GUGCUCGCCUUGGCAACACAUAUAUUAAAAUUGGAAGGAUACAGAGAAGAUUAGCAUGGCCCCUGCACAAGGAAGACCCACAAAUUCGUGAAGUGUUUGAUAUUUUU